UACGAAGGGGGCUAGCGUUGCUCGGAAUCACUGGGCGUAAAGGGUGCGUAGGCGGGUCUUUAAGUCAGGGGUGAAAUCCUGGAGCUCAACUCCAGAACUGCCUUUGAUACUGAAGAUCUUGAGUGCGGGAGAGGUGAGUGGAACUGCGAGUGUAGAGGUGAAAUUCGUAGAUAUUCGGCGGAACACCAGUGGCGAAGGCGACUCACUGGCCCGAUACUGACGCUGAGGCGCGAAAGCGUGGGGAGCAAACAGG
rnacentral:rRNA from 1 species